AAGCGACUAAGCGUACACGGUGGAUGCCCUGGCAGUCAGAGGCGAUGAAGGACGUGCUAAUCUGCGAUAAGCGUCGGUAAGGUGAUAUGAACCGUUAUAACCGGCGAUUUCCGAAUGGGGAAACCCAGUGUGAUUCGUCACACUAUCAUUAACUGAAUCCAUAGGUUAAUGAGGCGAACCGGGGGAACUGAAACAUCUAAGUACCCCGAGGAAAAGAAAUCAACCGAGAUUCCCCCAGUAGCGGCGAGCGAACGGGGAGGAGCCCAGAGCCUGAAUCAGUGUGUGUGUUAGUGGAAGCGUCUGGAAAGGCGCGCGAUACAGGGUGACAGCCCCGUACACAAAAAUGCACAUGCUGUGAGCUCGAUGAGUAGGGCGGGACACGUGGUAUCCUGUCUGAAUAUGGGGGGACCAUCCUCCAAGGCUAAAUACUCCUGACUGACCGAUAGUGAACCAGUACCGUGAGGGAAAGGCGAAAAGAACCCCGGCGAGGGGAGUGAAAAAGAACCUGAAACCGUGUACGUACAAGCAGUGGGAGCACAGAGCAAUCUGUGUGACUGCGUACCUUUUGUAUAAUGGGUCAGCGACUUAUAUUCUGUAGCAAGGUUAACCGAAUAGGGGAGCCGAAGGGAAACCGAGUCUUAACUGGGCGUUAAGUUGCAGGGUAUAGACCCGAAACCCGGUGAUCUAGCCAUGGGCAGGUUGAAGGUUGGGUAACACUAACUGGAGGACCGAACCGACUAAUGUUGAAAAAUUAGCGGAUGACUUGUGGCUGGGGGUGAAAGGCCAAUCAAACCGGGAGAUAGCUGGUUCUCCCCGAAAGCUAUUUAGGUAGCGCCUCGUGAAUUCAUCUCCGGGGGUAGAGCACUGUUUCGGCAAGGGGGUCAUCCCGACUUACCAACCCGAUGCAAACUGCGAAUACCGGAGAAUGUUAUCACGGGAGACACACGGCGGGUGCUAACGUCCGUCGUGAAGAGGGAAACAACCCAGACCGCCAGCUAAGGUCCCAAAGUCAUGGUUAAGUGGGAAACGAUGUGGGAAGGCCCAGACAGCCAGGAUGUUGGCUUAGAAGCAGCCAUCAUUUAAAGAAAGCGUAAUAGCUCACUGGUCGAGUCGGCCUGCGCGGAAGAUGUAACGGGGCUAAACCAUGCACCGAAGCUGCGGCAGCGACGCUUAUGCGUUGUUGGGUA
rnacentral:rRNA from 1 species